CUUAAUCUGACUCUUUAAGAGGAAUCUUGUUGGCUGUAUAUACUAGGGCUAAAUCACUGGAUGUUAUGCUAUUUUGAACCAUUUAUUACAUAAACAUGAGUAGGAUAAGGAUACACGAUAUUUUGAGUAAAAAGUAGGCACAUGUAGAUACACAAUCAAGCUAAAUAAAUUAAUUGAGCAGAUACAUGACUGGAAAAUAAAACGACUGACACCUUCCAAUUAAAGUUUACCACAUCUUGCCUACAAAAUCUCUGUGAUACGAAAGUAGAGACCUGGGUUUAUGAGGAAUUAUCAAAGGGUAUUGAGCCAAGCAUUGAAACAGAGCCAGAAGACCUUUCUGCAAUAAUCAUGACACUAGUGAAGACGAUGAGAAAUCAGGCGGUGAAUGUAUUAGUGAUCAUGAUGAUGAAGAUAUUGUACUGAGAGACUUAUGAAUGAUAGUCACAAGUGUGAAUUUUUGAUGCGGAAGAUUAUUCUGGAAAUAUUAGUAUAGUAGGUGCUCCUUUAAUUCAUAUUAAUUUAUUAAUUUAGCAAGGCCACUAGUAUACAUUCUAUAGUUACCUUAUCUCACUAAGUUUCAAGACAAGAAUAUCUUAGGUUGUGAUGAACUGAAACUUUCUUGUUUAAAGCUCUUGUUAAGUUCACUUCAAAUAGCAUUGAAUUUUUUUGUGAACCUGCCUUCAUCAUGCUGGUUAAGGAAGUUAUGUUAUGGAACUAAGCUUUGUAGGACUAUGUGUGACAAGAUACCUUUGAAAGAUCUGCUUCACUACAUGGAACCCGAGAGUUCAUUAAUGUUGGAGAUUUUGGGAAAUUAAUUUCUCAGUAAUGUGUCUUAAGUUACAAAACAUAAAGUGUCUUACUUGUGGAACAUUGGUAGACUAUGAUGAAGAAAACAAUUAUAAUCUUUUUUUGGUUUUAAUAAUAAUUCCAAAUCAUU